AGUUGGCUGGUUCAAGCUCGUUCUACUGAGCGUUUCUUGCAUUUUAAAAAUGCUUAAACCGCUGGCAACUUUCUUCUACCCAGCACAUUCUCUCAUGGAAUGGCAGAGCAAGACCAACUUUACCCGCCUCUCCUCCGUGUCUCCCAUACGACAUGAGGACGUAAAUCAAGAUCUGGAUUUUCAUCUGGUAUUGGAUUCCUUCUGCCCGGAAGACUCCUUUGACGUUUCUGUAGUGUGGGUCAGCUGGUAGUGAAUUCGGUCAGCUUAUGAACUCAAAAGAGGUGUAGGAGGAGAGAAGCUCAAUUAUCACCCUGGUCUCCUGGAGUAUCCCAGGCACAGUCCCAGGAGUUCAGCUUUUCAUACUCGAGUUCCUGGGUCCUGAAGGCCUUUUUGGGGAAAGUACUGAUGUUCGUGUCAAGGUUGGGAAGAAAGGGUUUGGGAGGAACCAAGCAACAGGGAGGCAAAGAGAAGACAUCAACAAGCGAGGCAAGAACUUUCCACAGGCUCACACUGGAUACAGGACCAGAGACAAGAAGCUGGCGAAGCCUAUAUGGGUUCCCGAUGUCACAUCGCAGCUACCGCAUUGGAGGGUUAAGAGCCGCUGACAAAUCUCUUUCGGGAAGGGGCUGUUUCCCUCCCUGUUUUCCUCAGAAGAAGAGUUCCAAACAAAAGAUCUACUACCCUGAGAAGCGGUGAAGUGCUCCUGGGGCCCACCAAGGCCACACAAGUCAAGGAGUGGAUGGCCUUGCCCCAGCUAUGGCUCAGAUCACCUUUGCAGGAUGACAUCUUGUUGGGAGAUGGUCAUCAGAGACAGGGCCAUGGAAGACGCUGUCAGGAGGAGGCACAGAGGAAAGGCUAUGGGAGCACAAAGCAAGAAAGUGGCCUUCUGCAAGCCAGGAAGAGAGGCCUCCCCAGAAACCAACUCUACCAGCACAUCGAUCUUGGACUUUUGGCCUCUAGAACAUUGAGAAAAUAAAAGUCUGCUGUUAAACCA
rnacentral:lncRNA from 1 species